AUGGAAGAGGUUUUUUACAGUGAGGGUGGUGAGGCAUUGGAACAGGUUGCCCAGAGACGUGAUGGAUGCCCCACCCAUGAAGAUAUUCAAGGUCAGGCUGAGUGGGUUUCUGAGCAACCUGAUCUAGAUGUAGGUGUCCCUGUUCAUUGCACUGGGAGUUGGACUAGAUGACUUUUAAAGGUCCCUUUCAACUCAAACAAGUCCAUGAUUCUAUGAUUAGAACUGCUCAGCAGAUGACAUAGGGCCAAGACAGUUCAUCCUCCCAUCUCCCAGGUCAACAGAUCAUCAAUGACUUGAACACCAUUGUACAAGAUCCAAUACUCCAUCCCUACACUUAAACAAAGAGAAACCUGAGCAGAGGGGAGGAGAUUUUCUUUCUUGUUGUUUGUUAUAUUUUCUUGCAGUUAUCCACAGUGCCUCCAUAAUGCACUCUGUUACUCAUAGUUUCUUCACAACUUCUGAACAUAGGGCACUACAGGACUUCUGCUAGUUGCCUGUUUGAUUAUUCCCAAAUCAACAGCCUACAAUGCUAUCUAUACUUUCACUUUUGCCACCUUCCAUUGAGAACCACAGACUCAUAGUGUUCAGGCAAGCUUGAGUAACAUAUCAGAAAUGAACGAAUCACCUAUAAUAGAAAGUCAAAAUAAAUAAGUAUCUUCUGUCCUUACUCCAUCAUGAUGUAUGAGGAUCCUUGAGUAAGACUGACCAUCUCACUGAAGAGACUUCAAAUUCCUCAUUGAAGUUUUCUUUCAACCUUACUUCUCCAUACAUAAUGUUGAUCAAAGUAAUUAUUGGAAGCGAGUUAAACUUUGCUUUAAUUUUGCUGAGAAAGAGUAAGAUAAAUGCCUUAGAUGUUCAGACUCACAAUCCACCUGGCACAACAUCUGCUAUCACAGUACUACAUAAUGACUUGUCAUGGAUUUCAGAGCACAUGCCUCUUGGCAGCUCUGUUCAGCAGUGCUCUAACAUACCUGCACUGCUCUUCUGAUGUAUUCUUAUUCUACUUUCCCAAUCUACCUUCAUUCUACCUAGCUACCUUGAUGGAAUGAAGUCUGCCUGAAAUCCCAUAAGCCUUUUCUAUCUCAGGCAAAUCAAGGAAGGAAAAAACAAACAAACAAACAAACAAACAAAAAAACAGCAACAUAAACUAAACAAAACAAAAAGAAAAAAAAAGAAAGAAAAAGAAGGAAAACAACAACAACAACAACAAAAUUUGGGAAUAAAGGAAUCAACCUUAGGGCAAGUUUAAUGCAAUCAUUUGAAAUCUUGCAUGGAGCAUUGUCUACAGGCAAAUUCACAGGGUCCUUGGACAGAAACCCCAUCAGAAUUUUGUCUACAUAGUAUUUCUGACCUCAGCUUUCUCCUCUCCUCCAUAUGGCAGCUGUUCCAUCCUUCUACUCGUUUUAUUUGCUUUUGUUUGUAACCUCUCUAACUCAGCCAAGCCCUUUAUGACAUGCAGAGUCCAAAACUGAACACAGUACUCACAGGUAAUGCAUCAACAAAAAUGACACUGCCUCAUUCUCAGUUCUCCUUCCUGGUGAUGCCUAACAUUUUGUUGUUUUAUUUCAUGUGUCUGCUAUAUACUGAACUAGUGGUUAUGGAGGAUUGUCAGUGUUGACUCCAAUUCCCUCUGGAACAGUAGCUGACUGUUUGAAACUCAGCAUUGAGUAAGCAUGUUUUCAACUACUGUUCCUUUGAUGUCCAACCUAAUGUUUUCAACACUGCUGUUCCAUCCCUACCUCCAGCCUGCCCACUCAGUCAGUUUAGUGAGGUUCUUCACUACAAGUGGGGCAUUUGAUGAUCUCAAAAAGCUUAACAUAAGCUGCAAGCUUGAUGGUUUUCUUGGGUAUUCCCUUCUACAGUCAUUGAUGAAGAUGUUGUAUGCAGCUGAUCCUAGUUUCACUCCUGUAGGAACUCUUUUUUUUCAUAAUAAUAAAUUUUCAAAAUGAGAUCUACUAUGAGUCAUGCAAGGUGAGUAAUUCUAAUGCAGGAU
ensembl:lncRNA